rnacentral:lncRNA from 1 species
CAAGGAGUAUUAAUUAGGAAAUUUAUUAAAAAGGAAUUAAAUAAUUCAAUAACAAUCAUGUACACUUUGGACACUUUUAAAUAACGAUCUGUUCAAAUAUUAUAGACAUACCAUGUAUACCCUGCAGCCAAUAAAUGACCAUGUCUACUGUGAAAUAACAUGUAUCCUUCAGGGUUUGACAAUUAACCAUAGACUAGAAUUAUUUAACAUCCAGACGAAUACGUAACCGGCCAUUAGCUAUGGGCCAAUGUUUAUGGACAACUGGACUAUAUAAGAUCCAGCUUUGGACUUGAAGGAGGAGAGAUUGGUACAAGAGAUUGGUACCGGAGAUUCCGCCAAGGUCUCCCCCAUCGUGGGUAGGCUGGAACUCAUGCGC